rnacentral:rRNA from 1 species
UACAUGGGGUGCAAACGUUGCUCGGAAUUAUUGGGCGUAAAGCGCGCGUAGGCGGUUACUUAAGUCGGAUGUGAAAGCCCUCGGCUUAACUGAGGAAGUGCACCCGAAACUGAGUAGCUAGAGUACGAAAGAGGGUCGCGGAAUUCCCGGUGUAGAGGUGAAAUUCGUAGAUAUCGGGAGGAACACCGGUGGCGAAGGCGGAUCACUGGACAGUUCCUGACGCUCAGGCACGAAGGCCAGGGGAGCAAACGGG